rnacentral:rRNA from 1 species
AUGGGCACGCCGGAGUUCCCUGACCUGGGGCGGCACUGCAGCGUCGGCGACUGCCACCAGAUCGAUUUCCUCCCCUUCACCUGCGACCGAUGCGACUUCGUCUUUUGCCUUCAGCACCGAAGUUAUACAUCACAUAAAUGUCCAAAGGCUAAUAACAAGGAUGUCACUGUCGUCAUCUGCCCAUUAUGUGCUAAAGGAGUUCGCCUGAAUCCAAAUGAAGAUGCAAACAUCACCUGGGAGUCUCAUGUUAAUACUGAUUGCGAUCCAUCAAAUUACCAGAGAGCAACAAAGAAAAAGAAAUGCCCAGUUCCUGGGUGCAGAGAACAGCUGACAUUUUCAAACACAAUCAUGUGCAAAGAUUGUAGCAAAGAGCACUGCCUCAAGCACAGAUUUGGUCCUGAUCACAAGUGCCCGGGCCCAAGAAAACCAGAGCCUACCUUCCCCUUUGCCAACAUGCUAAGAAGAAGUCAGAAAGUUGAGCCACGCGCAAACAGCAGUGGCAGUGGUUCUUCCUGGUGGAGCUCCAGCCUUUUGAAUGCAGCAUCAAGUUUCAGAUCAUCGGCAGAAGCAGGAAUGCAGAAACUGAGCAUUGCCACCAGCGAAGCCGUCCAGAAGGCUAAGGAUGGGGUCACCCCGAGCAGCAGUGGUGGUGGCCUCGUGGAGCAAUGUGUUCAGUGUCCAGCAAGGUUUUCCACUGUGGGGGCCCUAAUCGAGCACGCCGAGAAAUCCCAUGGGAACAACUCGCGACCGAGCCGUGGCAAAGUGACGAUUGAUGCUUGCCCCAAAUGUAGCAAGGGAUUUCAAGAUCCGGUGUUACUAGUGGAGCAUGUUGAGAGGGAACAUGGAGGAACUUCAAAAGCAUAA